AACGAACGCUGGCGGCGCGCCUAAUACAUGCAAGUCGAGCGAGAAGACGUAGCAAUACGUUUGUAAAGCGGCGAACGGGUGAGGAAUACAUGGGUAACCUACCCUCGAGUGGGGAAUAACUAGCCGAAAGGUUAGCUAAUACCGCGUACGCUCCUUGGACUUCGGUUCAGGGAGGAAAGCGAUACCGUGGGUAUCGCGCUCUUGGAUGGGCUCAUGUCCUAUCAGCUUGUUGGUGAGGUAACGGCUCACCAAGGCUUCGACGGGUAGCUGGUCUGAGAGGACGAUCAGCCACACUGGCACUGCGACACGGGCCAGACUCCUACGGGAGGCAGCAGUAAGGAAUAUUGCGCAAUGGGCGAAAGCCUGACGCAGCGACGCCG
rnacentral:rRNA from 1 species